rnacentral:rRNA from 1 species
UACGUAGGGGGCGAGCGUUGUCCGGAGUUACUGGGCGUAAAGCGCACGCAGGCGGUAUGACAAGUCAGAUGUGAAAGAGGCCGGCUUAACCGGCAAGGGUCAUUUGAAACUGUCAGACUAGAGUGCAGCAGAGGAUAGUGGAAUUCCCGGUGUAGUGGUGAAAUGCGUAGAUAUCGGGAGGAACACCAGUGGCGAAGGCGACUAUCUGGGCUGCAACUGACGCUGAGGCGCGAAGGCUAGGGUAGCAAACAGG